UNGGCUCUACUAGCCGUGCAGUGAGUUC
rnacentral:piRNA from 1 species